UGAGGAAUAUUGGUCAAUGGGCGAAAGCCUGAACCAGCCAUGCCGCGUGAAGGAAUAAGGCCCUAUGGGUCGUAAACUUCUUUUGUAUCGGAGCAAUAAGGGUCACGAGUGAUCCGAUGAGAUUACGAUACGAAUAAGCAUCGGCUAACUCCGUGCCAGCAGCCGCGGUAAUACGGAGGAUGCAAGCGUUAUCCGGAUUUAUUGGGUGUAAAGGGCGUGUAGCCGGGAGGGCAAGUCAGAUGUGAAAUCCACGGGCUUAACUCGUGAACUGCAUUUGAAACUGUUCUUCUUGAGUAUCGGAGAGGCAAUCGGAAUUCCUAGUGUAGCGGUGAAAUGCGUAGAUAUUAGGAGGAGCACCAGUGGCGAAGGCGGAUUGCUGGACGACAACUGACGGUGAGGCGCGAAAGCGUGGGGAGCAAACAGGAUUAGAUACCUGGUAU
rnacentral:rRNA from 1 species